AUUGAACGCUGGCGGCAUGCCUUACACAUGCAAGUCGAACGGUAACGCGGGGCAACCUGGCGACGAGUGGCGAACGGGUGAGUAAUACAUCGGAACGUGCCCAGUAGUGGGGGAUAGCCCGGCGAAAGCCGGAUUAAUACCGCAUACGACCUAAGGGUGAAAGCGGGGGAUCGCAAGACCUCGCGCUAUUGGAGCGGCCGAUGUCAGAUUAGCUAGUUGGUGGGGUAAAAGCCCACCAAGGCGACGAUCUGUAGCUGGUCUGAGAGGACGACCAGCCACACUGGGACUGAGACACGGCCCAGACUCCUACGGGAGGCAGCAGUGGGGAAUUUUGGACAAUGGGGGCAACCCUGAUCCAGCCAUGCCGCGUGCGGGAAGAAGGCCUUCGGGUUGUAAACCGCUUUUGUCAGGGAAGAAACGGUCUGCGCUAAUACCGCGGACUAAUGACGGUACCUGAAGAAUAAGCACCGGCUAACUACGUGCCAGCCGCCGCGGUAAUAC
rnacentral:rRNA from 1 species